UACGGGGGGGGCAAGCGUUGUUCGGAAUUACUGGGCGUAAAGGGCUCGUAGGCGGCCAACUAAGUCAGACGUGAAAUCCCUCGGCUUAACCGGGGAACUGCGUCUGAUACUGGAUGGCUUGAGUAUGGGAGAGGAACGUAGAAUUCCAGGUGUAGCGGUGAAAUGCGUAGAUAUCAGGAGGAACACCGGUGGCGAAGGCGGAUCUCUGGGCCAUUACUGACGCUGAGGAGCGAAAGCGUGGGGAGCGAACAGG
rnacentral:rRNA from 1 species